rnacentral:rRNA from 1 species
GACGAACGCUGGCGGCGUGCUUAACACAUGCAAGUCGAACGGAAAGGCCCUGCUUUUGUGGGGUGCUCGAGUGGCGAACGGGUGAGUAACACGUGAGUAACCUGCCCUUGACUUUGGGAUAACUUCAGGAAACUGGGGCUAAUACCGGAUAGGAGCUCCUGCUGCAUGGUGGGGGUUGGAAAGUUUCGGCGGUUGGGGAUGGACUCGCGGCUUAUCAGCUUGUUGGUGGGGUAGUGGCUUACCAAGGCUUUGACGGGUAGCCGGCCUGGGAGGGUGACCGGCCACAUUGGGACUGAGAUACGGCCCAGACUCCUACGGGAGGCAGCAGUGGGGAAUAUUGCACAAUGGGCGGAAGCCUGAUGCAGCAACGCCGCGUGCGGGAUGACGGCCUUCGGGUUGUAAACCGCUUUCGCCUGUGACGAAGCGUGAGUGACGGUAAUGGGUUAAGAAGCACCGGCUAACUACGUGCCAGCCGCCGCAGUAA